GGAGCUUCGUCCUGAGGAGAGUUGGUUGUCGCCCGAGUGCCGGCUCCUGCGCAACAAUGGGUUUUCGAGCUCCUGGGAUUCGUGAGUCGCCGCCUCGCUGCGCCCAGGUUCUUGUCAGAAAACGUGAAGGUAGCUGAAUCCAGGCCAGAGAUCAGGAAGAUUUUGACUAACAUUUGCUCAAGAUUCAUUCCUCCCCCGCACAAGCUGAAGAAAUGGAAACUGAGAGAGAUUAAGAAGUGUGUUCAGAUUCACACAGCUGUUACUCAAGAAAAGAAAGAAAGAAAGAAAGAAAGAAAGAAAGAAAGAAAGAAAGAAAGAAAGAAAGAAAGAAAGAAAGAAAGAAAGAAAGAAAGAAAGAAAAAGAAAAGAAAGAAGAGAAGAGAAGAGAAAAGAAAAAAGAAAAGAAAAGAAAAGAAAAGAAAAGAAAAGAAAAGAGAAAAGAAAAGAUAUGGGUAAGGAACCUGAGACAUGAUGAAGUGAUACAAUUUGGCUGAAGACCUAGCAGACAAUAGAGUCAAGACUGGAUCUCAGACCUCAUUCCAAGAUAGAAGCUGUGAACUGGCUUUUGGAAAUGGGCAAGCAAUACCAAACAUGUCACUGCUGCAUCUUUUAAGAAAAAGAAGUACAUUUGGAAAACACUUGACUAGUCUACUCACCAAAGAAAGAAAAGGAGGCCAACUGCCAUAUAAACAGGACCAUGUGGCAGGGACUGAGGGAGGCCUCCAGCCAACAGCCAGCAAGGAACUGAGAACCUCAGUCCAACAGCCUGAAAUGAAUGGAAUCCUGCCAACUCUUCCAGCUAAUACACUGAAUAUAAUCUCUUGAGAGACCUUGAAGCAGAGACACUAAGCCAUACCCAGGUUCCUGACCCACAGAAACUGUGACUCACUUCUGUCCAGUUACUGACUUCCCAGGAAAUGGUGCCCAAUCUGGAAGCUGAGAUUGUACUAUUUUAUUGCUCUACGCAAACAAAGCCUUCAUCUGGCCUUAAGGCUCAAAGGAAGACUCUACAGAUAUUGUUCUCCAGUCCUACCUGUAAAACAAAGAUGAAAACACUUAUUCUCUGUCUCAAGGAACUCUACUAGCCUGUGAAGGAGACAGACAUACACACAGAUGAGAAGACUGAGACCAAGAGGCUAAAUGCUGCACCAAGGCCAGGAGGAAGUGCUGAAGCCUUGAUUCAGAUUGUGUGACUGGUUCACUGGGAGAUCGGCUGAACCUACUCUUCUCUGAUUACAGCUUUAGGCAUCCUGAAGAAACAAUAUACCUGGAAAACAAUAAGGACUGAGAGAGCUAAUGUAAGUGAAAACUGCAACGGUAAGAAUGAAUGCUGAUUAAGGACCAGAUGGCAAAACUAAGAUACAACAAGAUUAAGUAAUUUGCUCAAGUCAUGUGGCUGGAGAGUGGCAGGGCUCGGAUUUCAAUCUAGGAAAGCUAUCUUCAGCUCCUGGACUCAGAGUAAAAUGCCUGACAUAGAAGAGAAACUUGAUAAAGGCGAAAAGAAGAGAUGUAAAUAGAGAAUUCUUGCUAAUGGGUCUCUUAUCUUGGGGUUACUCUUCAUGCCCUAGGAAAAAAUGUGUGUAAAACUGUGGAAAUAUGAAGCACAUUGGAUGGAGAGGUAUGUUA